GUAGGGUGCAAGCAUUAAUCGGAAUUAUUGGGCGUAAAGGGCGCGUAGGCGGAUAGUCAAGUCGUGUGUGAAAUUUCGGGGCUCAACCUCGAAGCGGCACAGGAAACUCACUAUCUUGAGGGUAGACGGAGAGAACGGAAUUCCACAAGUAGCGGUGAAAUGCGUAGAUAUGUGGAAGAACACCGGUGGCGAAGGCGGUUCUCUAGUUUAUUCCUGACGCUGAGGCGCGAAAGCAAGGGGAGCAAACAGGAUUAGAUACCCUGGUAGUCCUUGCCUUAAACUAUGUAUACUUGAUGUAUCUGGACUCAACCCUAGAUGUGUCGAAGCUAACGCGAUAAGUAUACCGCCUGGGGAGUACGCUCGCAAGGGUG
rnacentral:rRNA from 1 species